rnacentral:rRNA from 1 species
UGCAUAUCAAUAAGCGGAGGAAAAGAAACCAACAGGGAUUGCCUCAGUAGCGGCGAGUGAAGCGGCAAAAGCUCAAAUUUGAAAUCUGGCGUCUUUGGCGUCCGAGUUGUAAUUUGAAGAAGGUAUCUUUGGGCCCGGCUCUUGUCUAUGUUCCUUGGAACAGGACGUCACAGAGGGUGAGAAUCCCGUGCGAUGAGAUGACCCGGGUCUGUGUAAAGUUCCUUCGACGAGUCGAGUUGUUUGGGAAUGCAGCUCUAAGUGGGUGGUAAAUUCCAUCUAAAGCUAAAUAUUGGCGAGAGACCGAUAGCGAACAAGUACAGUGAUGGAAAGAUGAAAAGAACUUUGAAAAGAGAGUGAAAAAGUACGUGAAAUUGUUGAAAGGGAAGGGCUUGAGAUCAGACUUGGUAUUUUGCAUGUUGCUCUCUCGGGGGCGGCCGCUGCGGUUUACCGGGCCAGCAUCGGUUUGGAGCGGCAGGAUAAUGGCGGAGGAAUGUGGCACGGCUUCUGCUGUGUGUUAUAGCCUCUGACGAUACUGCCAGCCUAGACCGAGGACUGCGGUUUUUACCUAGGAUGUUGGCAUAAUGAUCUUAAGUCGCCCGUCUUGAAACACGG